CCUACGGGCGGCAGCAGUGAGGAAUAUUGGUCAAUGGGCGGGAGCCUGAACCAGCCAAGCCGCGUGAGGGAAGAAGGUACAGCGUAUUGUAAACCUCUUUUGUCAGGGCACAAAGGCGGGGACUAGUCCCCGGAUGAGGGUACCUGAAGAAAAAGCAUCGGCUAACUCCGUGCCAGCAGCCGCGGUAAUACGGAGGAUGCGAGCGUUAUCCGGAUUUAUUGGGUUUAAAGGGUGCGCAGGCGGCCUGUUAAGUCAGCGGUAAAAUCCCGGGGCUCAACCGCGGCUAGCCGUUGAAACUGGCGGUCUUGAGUAGGGGAGAAGUACGCGGAAUGCGCGGUGUAGCGGUGAAAUGCUUAGAUAUCGCGCAGAACCCCGAUUGCGAAGGCAGCGUGCCGGCUCCACACUGACGCUGAGGCACGAAAGCGUGGGUAUCGAACAGGAUUAGAUACCCCUGUAGUC
rnacentral:rRNA from 1 species